rnacentral:precursor_RNA from 2 species
UAUCAUCAAAUAUACCUUAAGCCUCACUUAUAUUUUUAUAUUUGCUCGAUUUUUUGAAUAAGACGAAUUGUCAACAUAUAUCUAAAAGUCAACAGCGUCAUACAUUUAAAAACAGAGGGAGUACAAUACUACAUCCAUCCCAAGGUGUAACUAUAUCUAGCUAUGAAUCUAGACAAGUUCAUAUCCAGAUUCAAAGCCAAAGAGAGCUACAUUUUGGGCAGGAGGUUUUACUACACUGCGACCUUUGUAGGUUAGGAGCCAAAAAGAUAAAUAGUAACCAGGAGUAACAAACUAUGAUACUCCCUCCGUCCCAAAAUAAACAAACCUAGUACAGGACUAGGAAGUGCCACAUCCCCGUACUAGCUUUGUUUAUUUUGGGACAGAGGGAGUACCUAGCAAGCUACGAGACUAGCCAGUAGUUUCUUGUGC